rfam:Myotis lucifugus cont2.529, whole genome shotgun sequence.
GGCAGUUCUUGGGUGACACAUCACGGAAUCGGGCUCCCUCCUUUCUGGUUCCUGGUGCGUCACCUGAGAACCACC